AGCCAUGGGGCUCUUUUAUAAGGGCACUAUUCCCAUGCAUGAGGGUUGCACCUCAUGAACCACUCACCUCCCGAAGACGUCACCUCUUGAUAGCAUCACAUUGUGGGUGAGAAUUUCAACAUUCAAAUUUGAGGGAGACACACACAUUUGGACCAUAGCACACAGGUGGGUCAUAAAGCCAGGGUUCCGAGGCAAGCCUGAGGUCAUCAGCCAAGGGUGUCUGCAUCGGACAACACUCAACUCGGGAUUGGCACCCAGCCAGUACCCUAAACUAUACAAGAUGCCACUGUAGGGACAGGGAUGACCUCUAGAAAGGUGACCCUCAGUGGGCCAGACAGGGCUUAUGAAGAGAAUUUUUCUACCUUCUUGGUGUUUCCUGCCUGCUACUUUCAAACAAGCAUCCUGUUUUUAAUGUUUUCCCAGUAAUAUUUUAUGAAUGUUAUUGUGAAGCAGCAGGUUAAAUCAACACCACAGGCCCCGUGAUUGAUGUAUGUGAUCAGGACAUUACAUCCUGGUGUUCUUGCCCCAAGUCUUGAUGUGAAUCUGACCACAAGGACAAUUCAGACAACCUGAAAUGGUGAGACAUUCUACAAAAUAAACAUCAAUGUCAUGAAAGACAAAGACUCAAGAUUUUCUGCUUAAUGGAGACUAAAGAGAUGUGACAACUGAAUGCCAGGCAUGAUCUGGGAUUUUCUUUUGGCUCGAACAGUCUUAGGACAAUUGAAGAAAUCUGAAUGAGGUCUGUAGCUAAUAGAAUUGGGUCAAUGCCA